GCCAUACAAAGGCACAGCAACAAAGCACCAUAUUGGAAGUUGAGAGCAGCCCUCACCAAUGUCUGUACCGUGAUCUUUGCCUUCCUAGCCUCCACAACUGGUCUGCAAUACUUGAAAUGAAGGUAUCAGCUGGGCUGUGUUCUUAUCUGGAAGCCAGACUAGAGAAGGAUCCAUUUCUCCAGCCUGUGACAGAUAUGUGUUGUCUCUGAAACUGUAUGUGGAUAUCAGUGAAAGAAGAGGAGAGGUGUCAUGUCAGCACAGAAAUGUUCCAUUUGUUGAAGUAUUACGAAAGAGAGCUCUGAUCAAGAGGAAGAGACUUCAAACUAUGAAAUUUGAAACAGAAAUAUCAAAAAUUUUCACUGACUGAACUGUAUCUCUGGAGAGAUUUCAGGAGUCCUUUGAAGGAACCUGCCAGAAAGAGGAAAAUACUUGACCAGUAUAACCUCAAAAAAGAAGAAACACUGAGCUGGGUCAUGCUCUCUGCUCUCUGCUAAGUGAGGAAACAAUGAUAAAUCAGUCAACUGCAAACCUGGAGGAGUGCCCUCACC
rnacentral:lncRNA from 10 species